AAUUUCUAAACUGCUGAGAAUAUUAAUUACUUCUAUUAGUAUUUUCCUUUACUUGAGACCUCUACAUGCGAUCUAAAACACAAGGGAAUGCAUCUGCAUACUAAACGAGAGUAAGACUCCUUUCCAUUACUCGAGAGGACAAUUAAGUUUUUUAGUAUAUUUUUAAAGAUAACAAGGUAAGUUAAAGGGGAUAGAAGUGUCAUUAUCUUUUAGUUUUUAUAUGUAUUUUUAACUGACUGAUCUCUCUAAUAGUUGAGAGGAGUCUGACUCACUAAAUGAUGGGAGCUUUAAAAAAGUAUAGUAUAAUCUAUUUUCUAAGUAUCAAAUAAAUCUCAUUAGCUAAAGAUUCACCAUCAUCUAAAUCAAGUACCGAAUUUACACAAUACAUUGUACAAGACUACUUGAAAAAAAUUGGGGGAGGUUUGAACCUAAAUAACUCAUCUUAGAAAACAAUCCAAUUCUAACUUCCAAUCAUACAACUCAUUUUAUUGUUUUUUAUGAAUAACGAUAUUUCUUGUACAAAUUCUCUUACACUAUAAUAAAAUGACAUGUCACUCACCGAUAAACUAGUCAUUAUUAGUAAAUAAAUUUCAUUUCGUGAUACUUAUUUUUCUUAUAGUGUAACAAAAUUUAUAAGAGUAUAUAUCAUAUUUUUUUAGCUUUUGUUCUACUUCAAUAUAACUUUGUUGUUGAAGUUGCAAACUAAGAGCAGCGACCGCAGAAAGAGGAAAGUAUGAGUAAUAGAGAGGAUGCACAUUUGUAGCCAAUCCACUUCCAUUGAAAAUGUGUAGAACAGUAGAAGAGAGAGGGGAAGUGUUCAAGGUUGAGGAAAACAAGUUAUUAUAUUUUUAUGUUUUUACUGUAGUUGUAAUAAAAGUAUAAUAAAUAUACACCAGAG
rnacentral:lncRNA from 1 species